rnacentral:rRNA from 2 species
UGAGGAAUAUUGGUCAAUGGACGCAAGUCUGAACCAGCCAUGCCGCGUGCAGGAUGACGGCUCUACGAGUUGUAAACUGCUUUUGUAUUAGGGUAAACGCAGAUACGUGUAUCUGUCUGAAAGUAUAGUACGAAUAAGGAUCGGCUAACUCCGUGCCAGCAGCCGCGGUAAUACGGAGGAUCCAAGCGUUAUCCGGAUUUAUUGGGUUUAAAGGGUGCGUAGGCGGUUUGGUAAGUUAGAGGUGAAAUCUCGGAGCUCAACUCCGAAACUGCCUCUAAUACUGUUGAACUAGAGAGUGGUUGCUGUGGGCGGAAUGUGUAGUGUAGCGGUGAAAUGCUUAGAGAUUACACAGAACACCGAUUGCGAAGGCAGCUCACAAAGCCAUAUCUGACGUUGAGGCACGAAAGCGUGGGGAGCAAACAGG